rnacentral:lncRNA from 1 species
AGAAGCUCAUAGCCUCUGCUCUCUCUGCAAUUCUGUUUCUUUCUCUCUAAGUUUUCUGCUUUUCUUCAAUUCUCUGUGCACUGUUAUCAUGGUAUCAGAGCUGGCCGAUCCUUGGUUUCAAUUCCGCUGUGCAAGUCUUCUUGAUUGAUUGAAGCUCGAUGGUAGCUGCAAGUUCUCAGGGAUUUCUGCUCAAAGGUUCAAGAUUUUCAUUUGUAUCAGGUUCUUUGUUUCUGAUUUCACAGUGCACACCAUCUGUUUGCGUUAUGUUCUAGUUGGAGAGUGUUUGUUAUUUUUCUGAAAGAUUGAAGGCCCAUAACCAUUGUUAGAAAAUUGAUGAAACACCCCAACCCGGAAGUUUGAGGUAAAUUCUUCUUCUUCCUAAAAUUUUGCUUACUUUUCACUUUUACCCCUUAUCCUAACAAAAUCCUAGCCGUUCAUCUAAAUUGUCUUUCUCUCCUAAACUGCCAAGUGGCAGCACCCUAACUCUCUCCCUUUCCUUUUCCCGAAAACCCUCAGACCUUCUUAGGGUAAUUCGACGUCCCGGACCCGUUUUUGAAGUCCGUUUUCCCAAAUUCAAUCGUUUGAGUAGAGUAGUUGAUGUACCCUUUAUUAGUGUGCUUAGGGGCAAUUAAUGGUGGUGACGUUUCCGUCUUCGCUAGUGGCGCAGCUUUUGGCGACUAAGUACUGUGAGUGGACCCCUUCUAAAAUUACAUGAUUUUAUAGUUUAAUUGCAUAAAUGAUUAGCAUGCCUACGAAUUUAUGAAGUAUAUAUAUUUAUUAAAUCUCGAGUUAUACCUAUAUUUCCUAUAUGUAUUUUCUAUAGAAACCAUCUGGUAGCUCUAUCUGAUAGGACGAUAGGAUAUAUUUUCUAUAGUGAGACGAUGAACGAUGCGGUUAUGAGACGUAAAUAUUUGUGCGUACCUAGUAGACACUAUGCCGCUUGGGGCGAGGAUCUGGUGUUGGCAUGUGGGCCGGGAGAAAUAAUCCCUAGCGAAAGGCUGAGGGACACGGAGACAGGCAUUGGGCCGGGAGGGAGUUAUCUCUGGCUACGGGCACAGAGACUGAGGUGCAGGCAUUGGGCCGGGAGUUAUAUUCAUUCAGUGAUCUUUCUAGCAGCACACCGCUUUACGAGACGAUUUAUGAGACGUUUACUGUUUUGAUUUCUGCGAUGAGAUUCCGCAAUAUGGCUUUUGAGAUAUUUUUGGCAUGCUAGAAUUUUUAUUAAAUCCAUCACUUACUAUGCUAGUAGUUUUCACUAUUAAACUUUGGGGGUUAAUAUCUUGAUAAAUGUUUUAUUAUUAUAUUAUAUAUAAACUUGGUCCACUCACCUUUGUUUUGCGCCCCCAUUCAGGACUUAGAACCGAGGCAUACGAUCCCGGCGUGAAGGCACUUCCGUAGCAGCAUCUUCGGAUCCUCUCGAUGUAGGACCCACUUCUUCAUUCAUUCAACUUUAUCUUAAUUCUUUUUAGUGACUAGGUUUAGUUGUAUGCUCUGAACACGUUCCUAAAUUAUUAAUUCAUGGUAUUUUAAAUUUCUAACCCUUAUUUAUUUCUUAUUCUUAGCUUUUGUAUCAAUUAAUGGCUUUCGUCACCCCCGGGUGUCGGCGAGCACGUGUCGGUCCUGGUAUUCAGGGAAUAUCAGGGUCGGGGCGUGUCAGAUUGGUAUCAGAGCGUGGUUUGUUCAGAGCAUACUUAGGAUUCUUUUCUAUUCUCUUAAAGUGUCGGUUUUGACAUCAUUUGGAUGUCACGAUUUCCGGAUUUUGUGCUAGUCGGUGCAGUUGUACAAAUCUCUCUCGGAUUGAAUUGUCGCCUUCUGGUUGAAAUUCAAGAAUUCGUGUCGGGAUUGUGCCUCAACAGUGAUGAAGUGAAUUGUUGGACGACUUUAAGGAUCAGAUUGAUACUCUACGACGUGCAUCCCUUGGGAAUGAAGGUUAGAGUCAGUAUUACUUAGAAGCGACGUGUUUUAGAAAUCUCAAUUUGAGGAAUUCUGGUUAAGACUAGCUGUAGAUUCGAAAUGGCGAUGCCACUCUGCAACAUGCGUUCCCUAGGAAUUGCGGGCGGAGUCGGCUCUACAUCGCAAUCUUGAGAAACUCGUCAGUAGCAAACGCUAUUGUCAUUAAUUUCCAAAAUGAGUUGCAAUUCGUGUUGCUGUUGUAGUUGGAUUUGGAUGAUGAAUAUCCAGUCUUGUUUGGAUAAACAGAUUCCUUGAACUUCACCUGGGUUUAGUACUUGGGGGUAAAUCCUAGCUUCUAGCCUUCGUACUUUUCGACGAGGAUGAACUUAGUCUCUGCUUGCAACCUAAAUGUCCAGUCUUGUAAUUUUCAGUGUAAUGGCUUGAGACUCUAUCAUAUUCAUCAUUGUAUGAAGAUCGAGCUUUACUCUGAACUUCUCUGGACUCAUUGAGUUUUGGUUUGCUCAAGGGCAUCACUUUAAGGUAACCAAUCGUGGCACUGCAUGCUUACGCAGGUUGCUUUGUAUCUUUCUUCUUCGUCCCAUUGAUUCAGAGGUUCUAUGUUUAAUUUCUGAAUUUUUAAAUGGCUCUCACAAAGUAUUGUGAAUUUUGAAAUGUCUUUGGCCUCGUCAAAUCUUAUUGACAGUUCUUAACUAUUCCUGAGCUUAGACCUAUUUCCUUUUUAACUAAGAAACCAGUUGACCAUACUGUGAUGAUUUGCAAAAUAAUCAGAAACAGUGACUUCUAUUUCUGCAUCUUUACCUUCCUUCGCUUGUUUGUUUGUCAAUGUGAACUGGAUCAUGCCGGAACAUUAUUUGGAGGGUGCAAAAAAAAAAAAAAAAAAAAAAAAAAAAAAAAACGUUUGUUCUCGGCAUGGUUUCUCGUUCAAAUCGCAAUAUCUUGUACUCCAGUUUUAUUGGACUUGUUUUGACUCUCAAAUUCUUGAGUGUUCUUUUAGCCUUCUCGACCUGGUUUCUUGCUCGAUUAGUGAGGAAUUCACGAUCGAUGGAUUCGACGGAAGUGUCCACCCAAUGCGGGUCGAUUUGGACAGGAAUGUUGGGAGCAUAAUCUUUUCACCAGCUUACCAAACUUAUCAUAAAGAGUUCCACGUGGGUGUGAAGUUUGAGCUGUAUUUUGGUAAGAGAUUGGUGAAGAUUUUGGUGCAGAAGGUCAGCAUAUUGCAUCACCAUCUUAUUAGAAUUCAUAGGCAUCACAUUGGUUAUUUUCCAACGAUAUGUGUUCGUCUCGACGCAUAUUUCCACUGCUUCACUUCCGAACCUUAUUGUUGUGAGUACGUGGUUGUUAAAACACUUCUAGCAGAUCUGUUUGGUGCAUUCUGGAAUGGCACUACAGGACGGUCGAAGCGAGAAUUGGAUAAUCUUUGCACUUCUCUCGAAUUGUGCGUGUUCUCUUUGGUUGUUAGGAUGACCAUUUGCAAGUCGUUCUUCUUUCCACCAACUUUGACCUUGUUUGACUUGAAAUCUGCAACUAAGCAAAAAUGGAAAGGUGGUUUGAGCACCGCAACGGUUCCCAAGAGAUACUGCUUGUUGAGGAAUAUGACUUCUCGUUUUCUGCUUGCUUGACUCGAGCUUUUGGGUCUACUACUAACAUGGUAGCCACUUCUCUUGAAUCCCAAGGUACAAUUUUCAAAUGAGUUCUUUACUGGUGAAAUUCUGAAGUAGUUGGUCACAUUUGGAAGAACUGAGGAGGAUAGGAUGCUUGGUGCUAGAUGGAAUCAUUACGACGACAGUUUCUGUUUUGUUCGGUUUGGAGUAUGGCACUUUUGCGACAUGGUAUGAAGGUUGCUAUAUGCAACACUGGUUGUUAGAGGAGUUGUGCGAGCUUGGAUUCGGAGGAUCGAAUUUUCGAUAUGGAAAAUUGUACACCUUUGAGAAAUUACUACUCGCUUAUCGAGACAACAAUGUGAGCUCGAUAUUGCGGGCUGCAGACCGUUGUAUCGAUAGCUUAUUUGUUGGGUUCGUUAAGCAAGUGGGCAAGAAGAUUCGUCUACAGCAGCUGAUGCAGAUUCAGAAUUGUUAUUCUUGGGACUCGACCCAGAAACACAUUUAUUCUCGGAGUACGUGACAUUUCGAAUUCUUGGGCGAGACCCACUCUUAUUUUUCAGUUUUGGUUUUUAGUAUAAGUAUUUUAACUUCAUUUUCCUCUAGUUAUUUGUUUUUGUCGUUACAAAUGUUUUUGGAAAAAUAUUUCUGUUUUCAUUUGUAAGUUGAUUUGAGUUUUGACCUAUAUGUGAUUACUUAUCUAUUUUGGCGUUAUCUGGCCUUAAAUUAUUUUGUGUUUUCGACUUUAUAUUUUAUUAAAGUAUGUUUUCUAUAUUUUUACACUGAUGGGGAAAGAAGGUAUGAGCCUGGAGGCACGAAAGAUGGAAUCAUUGCAGCCGAUCGCGACGGCGUGGCAUUUUCCUUUUUGUGCAACCGCUCUGACUUGAUUUCUUCGUUACGUAUACAUAUAUAUAUAUCAUUUUUCGUAUUUUCGAGUUUUUCAGUGUAGUAUGUUAUUUUAAAUUUCGAGGACGAAAUUUUUUUAUAAGGGUGGUAGAUUGAAACACCCCAACCCGGAAGUUUGAGGUAAAUUUUUCUUCUUCCUAAAAUUUUGCUUACUUUUCACUUUUACCCCUUAUCCUAACAAAAUCCUAGCCGUUCAUCUAAAUUGUCUUUCUCUCCUAAACUGCCAAGUGGCAGCACCCUAACUCUCUCCCUUUCCUUUUCCCGAAAACCCUCAGACCUUCUUAGGGUAAUUCGACGUCCCGGACCCGUUUUUGAAGUCCGUUUUCCCAAAUUCAAUCGUUUGAGUAGAGUUUGACUAAAUGUACCCUUUAUGUGCUUAGGGGCAAUUAAUGGUGACGUUUCCGUCUUCGCUAGUGGCGCAGCUUUUGGCGACUAAGUACUGUGAGUGGACCCCUUCUAAAAUUACAUGAUUUUAUAGUUUAAUUGCAUAAAUGAUUAGCAUGCCUACGAAUUUAUGAAGUGAUUUAUAUGAAGCAUGUCGAUUAAAUAUAUUGAUUAUCGUCUCGUGUUUUGGUGAGGAAUUAAUUGUUAGCCUAUACUGAGCUAUAUUUCAAUAUAUCGUAUUUUCUAUAGAAACCAUGAUCUGGUAGACUAUCUGAUAGGUGACGAUAGGAUACUAGAACAUGUUUUGAACCCCUCUUUAUAGUGUAGACGAUGAUCGGUAACCUAUGCUAUGAAGUGGUUAUUUAUGAGAGACGUAAAUAUUUGUGCGUACCUAGUAGACACUAUGCCGCCUGGGGCGAGGAUCUGGUGUUGGCAUGUGGGCCGGGAGAAAUAAUCCCUAGCGAAAGGCUGAGGGACACGGAGACAGGCAUUGGGCCGGGAGGGAGUUAUCUCUGGCUACGGGCACAGAGACUGAGGUGCAGGCAUUGGGCCGGGAGUUAUAUUCAUUCAGUGAUCUUUCUAGCAGCACACCGCGCUUACGAGACGAUUUAUGAGACGUUUACUGUUUUGAUUUCUGCGAUGAGAUUCCGCAAUAUGGCUUUUGAGAUAUUUUUGGCAUGCUAGAAUUUUUAUUAAAUCCAUCACUUACUAUGCUAGUAGUUUUCACUAUUAAACUUUGGGGGUUAGUAUCUUGAUAAAUGUUUUAUUAUUAUAUUAUAUAUAAACUUGGUCCACUCACCUUUGUUUUGCGCCCCCAUUCAGGACUUAGAACCGAGGCAUACGAUCCCGGCGUGAAGGCACUUCCGUAGCAGCAUCUUCGGAUCCUCUCGAUGUAGGACCCACUUCUUCAUUCAUUCAACUUUAUCUUAAUUCUUUUUAGUGACUAGGUUUAGUUGUAUGCUCUGAACACGUUCCUAAAUUAUUAAUUCAUGGUAUUUUAAAUUUCUAACCCUUAUUUAUUUCUUAUUCUUAGCUUUUGUAUCAAUUAAUGGCUUUCGUCACCCCUGGGUGUCGGCCAGCACGUGUCGGUCCUGGUAUUCAGGGAAUAUCAGGGUCGGGGCGUGUCAAUUGAAAGGCCGAUAGCCAUUGUUUGAGAGCAUAAGAGGCCGAUAGCCAUUGUUUGAUCAAGAUUUUUUGGUAUUCAUUCAGUUGUUUCAUUGAAAAAGGCCGAUAGCCAGUAGGGAAGAAUCUGUGAUAGUGUAUUUGGGUUCAAGAACAAGUCUUGUUUGUCUGCAAUAUAAAUUUCUGGAUUAAUAUUCUCUGUAACUUUGUUCAAAUGGCAGAAUCUAUUGUUAAAAUUGAAAGGUUACUUGGUAUGCUUACAGUGAAGCUUCAAGAUGAUAAUUUUCAGUUUCAAUCUGUUCUUAGGGGGUAUGAUCUUUUCGAUCAUUUCACGGGUGAAGCUCCAUGUCCUCCGAGAUUUGUUAUUGAUAGAAAGUCUACAAGUGGAUAUGUUUUUCUUCUUGCUGCUGGUGCAAUCUCAUGGAAAAGCUCCAAGCAGAAGGUGAUUGCUUCUUCAACUACGGAGUUCAGGAGUUGAAUUUCGUUUAUCAACCUGAAAACUUGAAUUCUGUCAAGCAACAUAGUGCUUAUGGUAUAGGUACUUGUAAUCAUAAAGUGCACAUGUAGAAGAGAUUACAUACUGCAUUUAUGAUUCAAUAUUCGAAGCUAUAAGUGACAGGUUGUUAAACGUUUAAUUGCAGCUUUAGGGGACUUGUGAUCACCUUAGUCUUAGCUUAUGUAAUAUCAUCCUUCUUGGACACUCAAGUGGGAGAAUGUAAGGUGUGAGUGUCAAGAAGAAUGAGUUCUUGUUCUCGAC